GAUGAAGAACGCAGCGAAAUGCGAUACUUGGUGUGAAUUGCAGAAUCCCGUGAACCAUCGAGUCUUUGAACGCAAGUUGCGCCCGAAGCCACUAGGCCGAGGGCACGCCUGCCUGGGCGUCACACGUCGUUGCCCCCCCCCCAUCUACUCCUUCGGGAUUGCGGGGGGCGGAUGAUGGCCUCCCGUGCGCCUAGCCGCGCGGUUGGCAUAAAUACCAAGUCCUCGGCGACGCACGCCACGACAAUCGGUGGUUGCGAAACCUCGGUUGCCCGUCGUGUGCGUUCGUCGCGCAUCGAGGGCUCGAAAAAAUGCUCGGCUCCGGCUCGGCUUUCAACGCGACCCCAGGUCAGGCGGGGUUACCCGCUGAAUUUAAGCAUAUCAAAAGCGGAGGA
rnacentral:misc_RNA from 1 species